rnacentral:tRNA from 1 species
CACCCCGUGGGCGAAGUUGGCGCACUGCAGCUUGCCGCGCUGCGGGCCGUCGCUGGCGGCCUGGUGGAUCAUGGCCAGGUAGCGUGC